rnacentral:rRNA from 1 species
UUUUAAGUNNAAAAGCUUAAAUAAUAAUGGAAGACGAGAAGACCCUAUAGAGUUUUAUUAAUUUUUUUUAUGACGAAUUUUUAGGAUUAAAAUAUUUUUUUAAAAAGAAUUAAUUUGGUUGGGGUGAUUAAAAAAUUUAUUAAACUUUUUUUUUAUAUCAACAUUUAUUUAUGAAUAAAUGAUCCUUUUAUUAANAUUAAAAGAUUAAAUUACCUUAGGGAUAACAGCGUAAUUUUUUUAAAGAGUUCUAAUCGAAAAAAAAGAUUGCGACCUCGAUGUUGGAUUAAAAUAAAAUUUUGGUGUAGAAGCUAAAAAAUUUAGGUCUGUUCGACCUUUAAAAUUUUACUUGAUCUGAGUUCAAACCGGAGA